UACGUAGGUGGCAAGCGUUGUCCGGAUUUAUUGGGUUUAAAGGGUGCGUAGGCGGUGUCCUAAGUCAGUUGUGAAAUACGGCAGCUUAACUGUCGAGGUGCAAUUGAUACUGGGACACUUGAGUACUGAUGAGGUAAGCGGAAUGGACGGUGUAGCGGUGAAAUGCUUAGAUAUCGUCCAGAACACCGAUAGCGAAGGCAGCUUACUAAGGAGUAACUGACGCUGAGGUGCGAAAGCGUGGGGAGCAAACAGG
rnacentral:rRNA from 1 species